UACGGAGGGGGCUAGCGUUGUUCGGAAUUACUGGGCGUAAGGCGCGCGUAGGCGGCUUUGUAAGUUAGAGGUGAAAGCCCGGAGCUUAACUCCGGAACUGCCUUUAAGACUGCAUCGCUAGAAUCGUGGAGAGGUGAGUGGAAUUCCGAGUGUAGAGGUGAAAUUCGUAGAUAUUCGGAAGAACACCAGUGGCGAAGGCGACUCACUGGACAUGUAUUGACGCUGAGGUGCGAAAGCGUGGGGAGCAAACAGG
rnacentral:rRNA from 1 species